rnacentral:rRNA from 1 species
UACAGAGGGGGCAAGCGUUGUUCGGAAUUACUGGGCGUAAAGGGCGCGUAGGCGGCCGCCUAAGUCAGACGUGAAAUCCCUCGGCUCAACCGGGGAACUGCGUCUGAUACUGGGUGGCUUGAAUCCGGGAGAGGGAUGCGGAAUUCCAGGUGUAGCGGUGAAAUGCGUAGAUAUCCGGAGGAACACCGGUGGCGAAGGCGGCUUCCUGGACCGACACUGACGCUGAGGCGCGAAAGCUAGGGGAGCAAACGGG